AACCGGGGGCACCCUGACCGCAAUGCCGCGUGAGUGAAGAAGGCCUUCGGGUUGUAAAGCUCUUUUGUCAGGGAAGAAACAGCAGCUCUAACACAGUCUGCGAAUGACGGUACCUGAAGAAUAAGCACCGGCUAACUACGUGCCAGCAGCCGCGGUAAUACGUAGGGUGCGAGCGUUAAUCGGAAUUACUGGGCGUAAAGCGUGCGCAGGCGGUUAUACAAGACAGGCGUGAAAUCCCCGGGCUUAACCUGGGAAUGGCGCCUGUGACUGUAUAGCUAGAGUGUGUCAGAGGGGGGUAGAAUUCCACGUGUAGGGGUGAAAUGCGUAGAUAUGUGGAGGAAUACCAAUGGCGAAGGCAGCCCCCUGGGAUAACACUGACGCUCAUGCACGAAA
rnacentral:rRNA from 1 species